UAUAGUUAAUAAAAUGUUAUAAAUUAUUAAGAAUAACUACUAUUUAAUAACUGAAUGUAUUAUUUGAUUUUAACAGAUCUACCAUUUUGUAAUGUUGUUUUGAUGAAUUUUAAUUUAAUACAUUUUUUUUUAUUUUAGUUAAAUAUGUAGUUAAGCUGCGAUAACUCAAAAACCUUGGGAACUUUUCUUCUACAUCUGGUGUUUCUUUGCAAUUCGGGUUAUCAAGACUCAACUAUAGGUAUUCAUAGUUGAAUGAAAAUUAUAUUGUAGAUUGGCAAAAGAUAAAAUAAACAACACUAUAUAAUUACUUAAUAUAAGUAAAUAUAUCACUAUAACUUAAAAUCAUAACCAUGAAAUGUAAAUUAUCUUUUAACUGUGUAAGUACCAUGGUUACAAGAAAUAAAUUAUGUAUUUAUAGACAAUACAGGAUUGUCACUACUAUAAUACAGUAACAAUAGCUUGUAAAAAGCUAAUUUCAUUUAUUAGCAACUUUACAUCCUUGUUAUAGAAAUACAUGAUUAUGAUAUUUGACAUUUAUCAAUAACAAUAUGAUACAAUGAUUAUUAAGAUAUAUUUGUAAUUCUAUAUGAUUUAUUACUUAUAUGUUUCAACUAUCCCUCUUAAUAAUUUAAUGAUCUAUAAAAACCAAGACAUCUUUUUCUAAUCAAAGUUUUGAGAAACUAUUUGAACAACUUAAGCUGGCUUGUUAAUUUUUCAGCUAUUUGUUGAGCCCUACAAACUAAAAAAAUAUUUUCUUUAAAUACUAACAAAUACCCAUAUGUUUUGUGCAUAUCAGUUUUUGUAAAGUGGAUUUUAUAUCAAACAACUGGCUUAAUGUAGGUUGAGUUUCUUCUCCAUUUAUAUUUAUUUAUCCUAUUAAUAAGUUACAUCGACCAAAUUAUACCUUUACUUCUGCCUCACUUUUGAAUUAUGUUCUCAUUUAGUCAAUGUUAAUAAUAAGCAAACUCUGUAUUGAUCCGUAAAAUACUAACAUUUCUUAUUUCAAUAAAUACCUUAAUAUUGAAAUCCGUGUUUGUAUACACACUGCAUAGUCUAUCUAUGGCACUAUACAUUUAUAUCGUUACUAAAAUAUAAAUCAUGAUAUUAUACUGUUUCCUUUAUAUUAUAACGUUUAAUUUGUUUAAAUUUGUUCCAGUGUACCUACCUUCAAUGGAUUAGUUAAAAAUAAAAACUACUCUCAUAAAUAACUUAGUGUGCAAUAUUUGGUACCAUGGCUUGAGAUAUAAGUAAUUAACAUCCUAAUUUCCUAAUUGUUAAUAAAGAAAAAUUCCAUUAGUUUUCUGAGUCAAUACUGUCCAGCCUAUUGAUUGGUGUUAAUAAUUUCUUUACAUCAAUCUUAUGUAUAAUGUUAAUGUGUAAUCACUAUGUUUAAUAAAUAUUGAAACUGUCAUAGAGUAAUUGUUAUUAUAGCUUUUUGUUUUCAUUUAAACCAAAGUAAGCGUUUCCCAAAAUGUAUUUGUACCUAUUUUAAACAAUGUUUUGCAAAAUAAAUUUUUGUUUAAAGAAUAAUAGCCCACGCUUUUAAAGAUAGUCUAAAAUUAAGCCUAGAAAUGAAUUUAAAUUCAUAUCACAAACCUCAUGAUAAUAAUAAAAAACAAUUUCACUUUAAAUGUAAAUUGAAGGGUUUACUGCAUCAAGUAUUCAAUUAUAUGUUGAGCUUUGCUGUAUAAUAUAUUAUCAUAACAAGGUUAUGGAAGUUAGAAUUUUUCAUUUUUGAAUUCAUUCAAUCAUGAACUAAAAUUGAAUUUAUAUUUUGUUAUAUUUAAAUGAAUCUUCCAAUAUUGUAAUGAUGGUAUCUGAGUGUUUUUCUAUUUGUUUUGAAUAUUCACCUCGUUCCCCAUCAAACAAAAUAAUAAUUUGAAGUUAAAAUGAUAGUUUUUUAGUAAUUAGUACAAAAUAUAUUGAUUACCAUAGCACUAUGAAAGUGUUGGGCCAUAUAUGAUAGGUAUAUGGGAUCAACUUUAGGUACACCAAUUGUCCUAAGACAAUUAUUUCUUUAAUUCUUUGAGUUAGGUAAGGUUUGACAUUUUUUUGUUCAUAAAAUAUUUUACAUAACUUAAAAUAGUAUGGAAGUUAGCAGUUUCAUUUUUGAAUUUAUACAAUCAUGAAAAAAUGCACGUAUAUUAUAUAUAUACAUACAUAUAUAAAUUAAACUUCCUAUAUUAUAGUGAUGGUAUCUGAGUGUUUUUCUAGUUAUUUUGAGUAUUCACCUCGUUCCCCAUCAAACAAAAUAAU